ACGAACGCUGGCGGCAGGCCUAACACAUGCAAGUCGAACGCUCUAGCAAUAGAGAGUGGCAGACGGGUGAGUAACGCGUGGGAACCUUCCCAAUGGUACGGAAUAGCUCAGGGAAACUUGAGGUAAUACCGUAUAAGCCCCUAGGGGGAAAGAUUUAUCGCCAUUGGAUGGGCCCGCGUCGGAUUAGCUAGUUGGUAGGGUAAUGGCCUACCAAGGCAACGAUCCGUAGCUG
rnacentral:rRNA from 1 species